rnacentral:rRNA from 1 species
GACGAACGCUGGCGGCGUGCUUAACACAUGCAAGUCGAACGGAAAGGCCCUGCUUUUGUGGGGUGCUCGAGUGGCGAACGGGUGAGUAACACGUGAGUAACCUGCCCUUGACUUUGGGAUAACUUCAGGAAACUGGGGCUAAUACCGGAUAGGAGCUCCUGCUGCAUGGUGGGGGUUGGAAAGUUUCGGCGGUUGGGGAUGGACUCGCGGCUUAUCAGCUUGUUGGUGGGGUAGUGGCCUACCAAGGCUUUGACGGGUAGCCGGCCUGAGAGGGUGACCGGCCACAUUGAGACUGAGGUACGGCCCAGACUCCUACGGGAGGCAGCAGUGGGAAAUAUUGCACAAUGGGCGGAAGCCUGAUGCAGCAACGCCGCGUGCGGGAUGACGGCCUUCGGGUUGUAAACCGCUUUCGCCUGUGACGAAGCGUGAGUGACGGUAAUGGGUAAAGAAGCACCGGCUAACUACGUG